AAGCUCAUCACAUUUUUCCUACGAACCCUUCCGACUAAGGUCCGAGUAAACUCCGACUAACUAAAACAUUAAAAUAGUCUUACAUGAAGUCCUUUCAUCGUCAAUGAAACACUCCCCCCGACAAUGGGAGAACUCCCAUUCACUCCUCUUCGUAGCCUUCUGCUGGAUAAAUUACGCAUAUCUUGUUGAUAGGUCGGCUGUAGGUUCCCGUAGCAGUUUUCACCUUCACAUUCCUGACCAACCCGUCCUCUCCCUGAUAGACUUCCACGAUCGUUCCGGUGUUCCACUUUCCCCUUACUGCGUUUGGCUCGGACACUAUAACAUAAUCGUUCACCGUUACAUUACGACUUUGCGUAUUCCAUUUUCUUCGUGGGGUUAAUAGCGGUAGGACGUCUCUUGACCACUUCUUCCAAAAAGCAUCAAUAAUUCUCUGACAAAACUCGAAUCGGUGGCGAGGAUUUUGUGUUUCUCGGAACGGACCUUGAGACACAGCGUUUGUAGCUCUGCCCAAUAGUAUAUCGUUUGGACAUAGGUAUCCGCCAUCAUCCGGAUCUGUUGGUACUCUUCCAAUCGGCCGUUGGUUAACCAAAUUCGCAGCUUCCAAAACGCACGUGUAUAGCUCGAAUGGUGUUAAAAGGGCGUCGCCGAUUGCUCUCUUCAUUGCAAGCUUCACACUUUUUACCAUCGCCUCAGAGCAUCCAUUUUGAUGCGGUGCCAAUGGUGUGAUGAAUUGCCAUUUCAUUCCUCUGGCUGCGCAAAAUUCUUCCAAUUGAUCUUUGUUCCAUCCUUCGAUCAUUAACUUCAAUUCGUUGUUUGCUCCUACCAUCUGCGUUCCGUUGUCAGAUAAGAGCACUUUCGGAUAACCACGGUAUGAAAAGAACCUUCUUAAGACUUGCAAGAGCUCCAUCGUGCUGGCAUCAACUGCAAUCUCGCAAUGGAUGGCUCUGGUAUUCAUGCACGUGAAUACUACACCAUAAUGU